UUUUGAUUACUCAUAUGUAACAAGAAAAUGUAUCGUUUUCAGGUUGCUGCCACUACUCCAUGUGCCCGCAAUUGUCUUGCGUGUAUGAUUACACUAACGGCGUCGCCCACCACGGCGGAAGUGUUUUGCGUACACGCGUUUCAGCAUGAAGCCUGCAGGUGGACGUAAAUUGUAGAAGGCAGCUAGUGGGGGAGAAGAUCAUGGUCAUAGGUCAUGUGACUCCUGGAGCUCCCAGUGGGCUCCCUUGUGGAGUACUUUUCAGAACACACACACACACAGUUUGCUCACAGAACCAACAAGUAGGAUGUUGCUUGAAUACUGAGAGAAAAUGGCGUAACACAUACAAAUAUCGUGUGACACAUAUGACAAUAAAAACAUUUUUCACGAGG